AAGUCGUAACAAGGUUUCCGUAGGUGAACCUGCGGAAGGAUCAUUAACGAAUAACUAUGGCGUUGGUUGUAGCUGGCUCCUCGGAGCAAUGUGCACGCCCGCCAUUUUUAUCUUUCCACCUGUGCACCGACUGUAGGUCUGGAUACCUCUCGCCUCCGGGCGGAUGCGAGGGUUGCUCGUAAGGGCUUCCCUUGAACUUCCAGGCUCUACGUCUUUUUACACACCCCAAUAGCAUGAUGCAGAAUGUAGUCAAUGGGCUUCUCAGCCUAUAAAACACUAUACAACUUUCAGCAACGGAUCUCUUGGCUCUC
rnacentral:misc_RNA from 1 species